rnacentral:rRNA from 1 species
UACAGAGGUCUCAACCGUUGUUCGGAUUCAUUGGGCGUAAAGGGUGCGUAGGCGGUCGUGCAAGUCGGAUGUGAAAUCUCAGGGCUCAACCCUGAAACUGCAUUCGAUACUGCGCGGCUAGAGUGCUGGAGGGGAGACUGGAAUUUACGGUGUAGCAGUGAAAUGCGCAGAUAUCAGGAGGAACACCAAUUGCGAAGGCAGCUCGCUGGGACGUGACUGACGCUGAGACGCGAAAGCUAGGGGAGCGAACGGG